UACAGAGGGUGCGAGCGUUAAUCGGAAUUACUGGGCGUAAAGCGUGCGUAGACGGUUUUGUAAGUCGGAUGUGAAAUCCCCGGGCUCAACCUGGGAAUUGCAUUCGAGACUGCAAGGCUUGGGUGCGGAAGAGGGAAGCGGAAUUUCCGGUGUAGCGGUGAAAUGCGUAGAUAUCGGAAGGAACAUCAGUGGCGAAAGCGGCUUCCUGGUCCAGCACCGACGUUCAGGCACGAAAGCGUGGGGAGCAAAC
rnacentral:rRNA from 1 species